CGCCAUAUCACAUUGAAACGCUGGCUCCAUUAUGAUCACCGAAGUUAAGCUACAUGGAGCCUGGUCAAUACCUAGAUGGGUGACCAUUUUAGAAUACCAAGUGCUGUAAG